rnacentral:lncRNA from 1 species
AUUUACCUAGCUAUAGAAUGUGUGGAAAAUUGAAUAUUCCUGGUUAAAAUGACCGAAAGUAGCUCGAAUGCUCAAAACCGAUACUGUUGGUGCGAACUUGGAUGGAACUGACGAGGACUGUGGCUGACAAAGCUAUUAGCAUCAUGAGGAGGGUCUAAUCGACCAGUCUUUGGUUGAUCUUGCCGGAGAAUCGAAGAGAGGAGCUGCAGGAGACUGUGCCGAUCGGAAUAGCACAGCUCUCCUUUGCUGCGCCAGCGGAAACAGAGAGAAAAGGAAACUGGAGGUGGAGGAGUGGUGGUCGAAGGUGGAGGAGUGGUGGUUGAAGGCGCUGGUCUCAGGUGAUUGGAAAAACGAGAGAGGGAAAGGGGUGGGGGGCAGCGAGCUCGCGUGGAGAAGAAGAAGAGAAAGAAAAAGAAAGAAAGAAGAAAGGAGGUUUCUAGCACAUUCUAGGCCAUUCCGGUUCGAUUCAAAUCAGUUUGGUCUAAUUUGAUGAUUUUACUUGAUUUUCGCUUGAUUCUCGGAUUUUUCCACUGGUUCUCAAGUUAUUCGUGUGGUUUUCGAAAAAUCAAUUCGAUUUUCGGGUUCGGUUCGAUUUAUUUCGAUUGUUUUAGUUAGGUUCCGUAACUCUUUCUCCAUUAACUCAAUAAUAAUAAAAAAAUAUUAAUAGUAACAAUAUUUGAUUUCAGGAUAGUUAAUUUAUAUAUAUUCAUAAUAGAUUAAAUUGCUGGAGUUUCAUAUUAUUUCUCGAAAAUUUUAACUGUUCUCAAAUCGAAAAUUUCCGAUGAUAUAUUUGGGCUUAGGCCCAACUCGCAAACUUGGGCUCGAAUGGAGAUUUUAUUCUACUUACAGCCCACCCGAUUAAAAUUUUUGAUUUUUGAUUUAAUAAAAAUUCAAGAGUUUUGAAAAUAAAAAUUCGGGGUAUUUCAAAUCCACAUGAGGCUUAUUGAAAAAGUGGGAGAUUCAUAUCGAGUAGUGGGUGCUCGGGAUGACAGUUCUGAGGAUGAGGAAGCUGAGGACGCAGGUGAUGCUAACAUGGAGGAGGGUAAUUCGACUCCUUUUGUUCCUUCUUCUGGUGCAGGUACUUCUAGCGCUGGUCCAUCCUUUCAAGGAACUUCGAGCAUGUCCAAUGACGAAAUCCUUGCACGGAUGAUGUCCCGAAUGGACAUGUUCGACACACGCCUUAACGGGAUGGAAUCCAUGAUUGCAAACAGAUUCCAAUCCAUUAAGAUUAUGCAUGGGAGCCUCGAUUCUAGCAUGGAUACAUUGCAAGGCCAACUCUAGACUGUCAUUCAGUUAUUGCAGCCACAUCCCCCUCCACCACCGGAAUCCUGAUGGAUUUUUGAUUUCCUUUCGUGUUUUUCUAUUUUGAUUUUUAUUCUCAUAUACUGAAUGUUCUGUCUUGAAUUUUUACUUCCUUUUGUUAAUGUUUCCAUUCCUUUGAAUAUUUUAUCUUUUAGUAGCUUUUUCUUUUAAUGUGUUUCUGGUCUUUUAGCUAUGACACAUUCCAACGCUCAGCUCUAUUGUAUUUUCCAAUGCAAUUUUGGUAAUGCUUACUCCACUCUCUUAUUUCUUUUCUUUUGUUAAUGUAAUAAGUUUGGAGAAGUAGGUUUAUUUUGAACACAUUGGGGAUAAUGUGUCGAUUAAAUUGGGGGAAGGAAAAAUUUUAGCUAAAAUUUUAUUUUUUAUUUUUGCUUAAAAUGGUUGGAAUAAUUGUGAGCAAGCUUGAAAAUUAUUGUAAUUUAGUAACUUGUGAUAAAUUUAGUUGUUUUUUAUAGUCUAGUAUUUUGAGCUUUAAUUUUAAUUUUUGACUUAACAUGAUUCUUUGGUUUAACUAUUUGUUUCUAAGAUUAUAAACACCACCAAUUUUUUUAAAAAAAAAUUUAUGAUAUAUAGAUAUGUUUUAAUUAAAAUUUAUUUAACCUUGGCAUUCCUAGAACAAAUUAGAAUUCCCUUUGAGACAAAACUUUUAAAUGCUUACAUUUAGAAAGAGAUGAUUUAGGCAUUCUUUGUUGAACUCCUUAUUUAGCCUAAGCCAACUAAGUUAAAAUAUGACUCUUGCAACCAAUUUGAAGCCUAUAUCCAAAUCUUAUUGUUCUUAAUCCUAGCCAUUAAACCAAUUUAAAUUCCUACCCUAAGUGCAAUAAUAUAUAAUUGAAGGAUUUGAUUUUUUUUAAAACCUAGCAACAAAAAAGGAGAAAAAUUCAUUAAUACUAGCAAGUGGAUCAAUUAGAAAAAUCAAAGAGAAAUACCCCAUAAAAGAAGCAAUCACUCGCAACAACUCAAGUUUGGGGAAUCAAAAGCAAGGAAGAAAUUAUCAAAAUAUUAUGAAAAGACCUUGCCAAAAUAUCUCUAAUCAUGAGCUAGUGAAGAAUUUCAAGAUUAAAACUCCCUUUAAACAAAUACUGUUUUGGUAUAAUGAAAAUCUUGAUAUUAUACAUUUUUUUUGUACUCCUUGUCUAUCUUUGUAUCCUUUUCUUUGAUUAGCUAAAUUUAUACCUCGAAAACCUCAUUACAACCUAAAUAAAGACCUUUUGAUCUUUUAAAAUUGUAAGCAUUUCAAUUGUGGAGAAAUGAUGACUAAUUCUGCAUAUGGGAAUGUUAAGAAGGUGUCACGACUGAUUUAUUAAAUAUCCUACAUGUACUAGGGUCACUACAUACUGCCUAAUACACUCACUACAUACUCAACUUUCACCAUAUUACUUCCUACAUUAUACUAACUAUCCCUUAAUUAUAUACACCACCUUUGUAAUUCUAUAAACGAUUCAACAUAAUUACCCAACUUAUCAUUUUUCUUUUUUUUUUAUCAAUAAGUACUGAUCAAUUCUUGAUCAAUAUGUCUUAAAAUUUAUUCUCAUGUAAGCAUAAUGAGAUCAACACGAACCACAAUUUUUCCUACACUCGUGAAAUCCCAAAAUAUAGAAAUCCUUAUCUUAAAUCCCCUAAUACAUCAUUACUCCUAUUUUUUAUCAAUUUUAAUAACAGUGACUCCAAAUUUAUCAAAACUCUAAAUACUGACUAUCCUCAUUUAAAUCAUACUAAUUUAUACUCGUUAUGUUUCUGUAAUUGAUUCUUUUCUUAAUAUCCAUACAAUAACAGGACUAGAUUCAUCCUUACUUAUCUAAUCCAUUAGUAUAACAUCAAUUUAAUAAUUGGACAAUUAUCUCUCCAUGUUCAAUGUCAUUCAUCAAUACACUUAAUCAUCAUAGCCCACUAUUUACAUAACAUAAGUACCUUAAUUCCCUUAUAGAGUCGUUCCUCGGAUCAUAGAAUCGCUCAUUAAACAAAAAUCAUUGUCUGUAAUUUACAUACCAUCGAGUGUGCAACAAUUAUUUUAAACAUCAAAAGACUAGAUACCAUUAGAUUUAAUUCUUAUUUAUACCAUACUAAACCAUAAAAUACCACAAUCCACACAAUAUCCACCACUAAAUACAUAAAGAUUAGAAUAGUUUAUCUCUCACUAAGAAUCACAAUUUACUUUUCUUAUAACCACAAUAAUUUAUAUUAUUCCUUAUAUUCACACACCUAAAAAAAUAUUUGAUGAAUACAACAAUACGCUUUACUCUACCAAGCAGUGAUUACUCAUAAAUCAAACUCACUUCAUAUCAUAAUUCUACCAAUAUUAUUCUUUAUGAAAAAUACUCAUCACUAAUUAUUAUCGUAAAUCACACCAAAUUCUUCAAUACUCAAACCUUAUAAAAAUCAUGUAUGUACUUAUACCAAUUAAUAUAUAUCUAUUCCAUUCAGAAAAGUAUUUACCUCAAUAAUUAUAAUAAAUUCCACUAACCAACAUCAUAUAAAUUUCAUCAAAUACAUACACUAAUUCGAUGCUCUAAUUAAAUAGAUUCUAAUGUCCUUGAAUCCGAAUCAUUUAUUUCUCUUAUUAAAUAAUUAGCAACCCAUUCUCAAUUCCGCAGGCACACAUAUACACGCAUUCAUGCAUUCUUCUAUAUGUAUUCCACAUUCAACACGUAUUAAAUAAAAAUAGCACACUUUCAUCGUCUAACUUCAACUUAUUAAUCUUAUAUAACUUAUCUUCUUACAUACUUAAAUUAUAUAUGAAUAUUAUUUAUUCCAUAGAAGGAUUUUUGCUUAACCCAUUCCCUUAACAUCAUUUACUAAAUCACAUCUCUAAAGAACAAGAAUACAAAUUUUACUCAUUAAACAACUUGACCCUAAUCUGGUUGGGAACAACGCUGAAGAGGAAAGCAAGGAAGACUAUGUCAAGACAUGACAGGAAUUACUCCGCAGUUACAUCUAGACUUAUGAACUUUUGCUCUGAUACCACCUUUGUCACGACCCGUUUCCGUGGGCCGGACCGGCACUAGGGCCCAGGUAAGCUUAAGGCCCCCUAGGCCCUAGUAAGCCUAAAUUAUUCAAUCUGUCUACAUAAUUCCCUUAAUUCAUCAAAACAGUAAGCCCAUAUGACUCGAGAUAUAAGAUUAUAAAAAUUUUCAAUCAUCUGGCCCAAUCCAAUCUCAAUAAUACAUAAUAUUUAGCCAGGGCUUAUUCACAAUAAAUCAUAUGCACAAUAUGGGCUUACUGAUUCAUCUGCAAAUAAUUACUCAAUAAAUAAUUUAUAGCGUAGUGCUAACAAUAAAGUCCAAUAUAAAUACACAACCCUAUAACUGCGGAGUUCAAUAAUAAUCUGAUAAUAGAAUAAUUUAUACAUCCAAAAUUAAACAACAGAAAUAUAAAAUUUACUUUUAUAACUCUGCGGAGAAGAUUGCAGAGUCUCAGUCGAAUCAGCUGCUUCCUAGUACCUGAGAGGUUUGUUCGGGGGAGGGUGAGUUUUGCAACUCAGUGAAUAAUAAGAACUAACACACACAACAUACAGUCAAGCAAAAUGCUCCAUAAUAUACUGAAUGAGCACACAACAGUCAAUCAUAUGACAUCACAUCAGCACCCACAAACAAUAUCACCUUCAAAUAAUCACAUCACGUGGAAAUUAGUCAGUGGCGUCACCUAAACCCCCGAUGAGCUGUCCUCUCAAACAGCCCAUCCUCUCAAACGUGUGCCCCCGGGGAGCCAAUCCCCCAUAUCUGGCCGACCGGUCUAAUCCUCACUUGACCAGUCCUCUCAAAAUUUUAUUUUACAUUCUCUCUUUUCUUUUUUCUAUAUCAUUCAUAUCAUAUCAUUAGGUGCACACGGGGGCGCCGAUCUCCCAUUUACCCGGCCGACGGUCCAAUUUCAUAAUUUAAGCAGGAUCCAUAUUUAUCGACCGUCCUCACAAACCCACGGUGCCCCACUUCAUCCCAACUCCACACAAACAGAGCACAGUAUAUACACAGCACAAAUAAUCAAACAAUUCAUUUAUCAUAAUACACCAAUUUCAUCCAAAUGCACAAUUAUGCAUAAGUAUAAUUAUAGUGAUCAUAACAUAAUAUAUAUGAGAAAAUACAAUAUGUAAAUAUAUAAAAAUGUAAUGUUAUGCAAAUGCAGUGUUGACAUGCAUUAUUUAUUAUUACUCACUGUGGCGGAGAACGAAGCUCUAGCUUUGAUUCUAUCCGGGAGGAGCACUAGAUGGACCCGAGCGAUGCGUGUUAGAUCGAAGUACACACGCUAGGACUGUCAAGCGGUGGCCGGAGAUGCACUGGAGCAGCGGCAAAGCUGCUGUGACGUCGGCAGAGGCGCGAUCUGUUGUGGCAGAGCAAUGGCGGGGCAGCAGGGCAACGGUGGUGGCGCGACAAGGUGGAGAUCGUGCUGCUGCCGUGCGCUGCGCGAUCUGGCAGAAAGCGAAGCUACUGGCUGUGGCGCGCGGAGGAGCAGAAAGACGGUGCUGGCGCGCAAUGGAGGCGGUGCGACUGGCUGAGCUCGUGGUGGUGGCNNNNNNNNNNNNNNNNNNNNNNNNNNNNNNNNNNNNNNNNNNNNNNNNNNNNNNNNNNNNNNNNNNNNNNNNNNNNNNNNNNNNNNNNNNNNNNNNNNNNNNNNNNNNNNNNNNNNNNNNNNNNNNNNNNNNNNNNNNNNNNNNNNNNNNNNNNNNNNNNNNNNNNNNNNNNNNNNNNNNNNNNNNNNNNNNNNNNNNNNNNNNNNNNNNNNNNNNNNNNNNNNNNNNNNNNNNNNNNNNNNNNNNNNNNNNNNNNNNNNUUUUUAAUUGGUUUUCGAUUCGGUUUAUCACUGUACAAAUUAUUAAUUCACGUUUAAAUAUUUAAAUACAUUUUCCACGCUGUCUGUUUAUUAAAUUUAAAUGAAAAAUCUUUGAAAACAAAAAUUCGGGUUAUUUCAGUCUUCCCCCCUUAUAAAAAUUCGUCCUCGAAUUUUAAAAGUAACAGGUAACUAGAAAACAAUGAUGGUUGUGCUUGUCACAUAAUGCUGCAACUGAUAAAAGUUAUUACAUUCAUAUUCAGUAGAAUACUUGUUCGUCUGAGCAGCUAGAAGGAUGAAUCAAGAAGAUGAGACAAAUAUUUUUCAAUUCGUUAGUCAGACCAAGGUAACUAAUUUUUAUUAAAUUUAUGAAGACAAACCAAUGGGAAGAAAAUUUAAUUUAUAGGGAGGGUAGGAUGAUUAUGAGAUGAAUCUAUCACCAUAGUUAAUUUAAACGUGAAUUAUACUAUGUCUACAAGUUGUCCCCUCAAGUCAAAUAUUCAUAACUUAAAGCACAGAUUCGACACUAAUAUUCACUUUUACACGUAAGAAUUUUAACCACUUAUAACCUCUGCUCAAGCAAUGGUUAUUAAUCUCAUUAGCUCUAUAUCAUGUGUCCUUACAUUGAUGUAUCGUCAUUUAUUCUCUCACUAGCUAUCAUAGGCAAAGAUCAUCACUCCAUAAGAAACUCAUACACAAACCAAGUAUUUAAUCUUACUGAUAUAAGAAUCCACAUAUGCAAUCAAAUUUACUACUACCCAAUUUGGACUCCUUAUUUUAAAAUUCAAAACCUACAUGCCGACUCAAUCCAUUUUUCAUCAAUUCCAAUUCCAUAUAUUUGCCCUCAUAAUCAUUGAAGUUGUUCAUAAUUAAAUAAGAUGAUGCUGCCAAUUCAAGAUGGUUCUCGAUUAUUACCAAAUUCUGCCAUUAAGUGCUAUUUGAAUCAUUUCCAAUUAAAGAGAACGAAUUCUUGCCAUUACUACAAGCUUAUUUCAAAUAGAAUUAUGACAUUUCUCUAGCUAAGUGCUAUCGACUCAUAAGAGACUAUAUAGAGAGAAUUUAAAUUCACAAUCAAAUCUCUAUUUUAGUUAUUAACUUCUCUAUUCCUCUCUCCAAUUUUUCAUACCAUACCAUUUCUUAACUAAUUAUUACAAGAACUUAUGCAACUAGCCAAGUGAGCUGUUGCCAUGCCGGAUAAUUCUUAAUUUAUUUUCUAAAAUUUGCAAACACCAUUCUAUUAUACGCAAUUCCAUAAAGAAAUCCAGCUUACAUUUUUUUUUUUACAAGCUUAAUCAAGAUGUAAAAUUCUCCAAACCGUAAUUUAUAUCCAAUUUACCUACGUCGACGUAUCCAGAAAUCCUAAACAAGUAGUGCCUUUUGCUCUAGCUAAGUAUGAGAUUAAGGAUAUUAAACCUAUAAUCUAAUUCCUGAUUACACUAUGUCCAUUGUUUUAUAUUUAUUCUUAAUCCCAUGAAUUCUUAAAGAAUAUUCAGAUAAUAAUAUCAUAGGGUUAUUCCUCCUUUCUCCAAGUCUAUCUUAAUGUCUA